UCCUCGGUUCGCCAAAAUGAAGGGGUGCGU
rnacentral:piRNA from 1 species